UGGGGAAUAUUGCGCAAUGGGCGAAAGCCUGACGCAGCGACGCCGCGUGGGGGAUGAAGGCCUUCGGGUUGUAAACCCCUUUCAGCAGGGACGAAGCGAAAGUGACGGUACCUGCAGAAGAAGCGCCGGCUAACUACGUGCCAGCAGCCGCGGUAAUACGUAGGGCGCAAGCGUUGUCCGGAAUUAUUGGGCGUAAAGAGCUCGUAGGCGGUCUGUUACGUCCGCUGUGAAAACCCAGGGCUUAACCCUGGGCUUGCAGUGGAUACGGGCAGACUAGAGGUAGGUAGGGGAGAAUGGAAUUCCCGGUGUAGCGGUGAAAUGCGCAGAUAUCGGGAGGAACACCGGUGGCGAAGGCGGUUCUCUGGGCCUUACCUGACGCUGAGGAGCGAAAGCGUGGGGAGCGAACAGGAUUAGAUACCCCCGUAGUCC
rnacentral:rRNA from 1 species